rnacentral:rRNA from 1 species
GGGCCCGCACAAGCGGUGGAGCAUGUGGUUUAAUUCGAUGAUACGCGAGGAACCUUACCAGGGCUUAAAUGUAGUGGGACAGGUCUAGAGAUAGACCCUUCUUCGGACUCAUUACAAGGUGCUGCAUGGUUGUCGUCAGCUCGUGCCGUGAGGUGUCAGGUUAAGUCCUAUAACGAGCGCAACCCCUGUUGUUAGUUGCCAGCGAGUAAUGUCGGGAACUCUAGCAAGACUGCCAGUGCAAACUGUGAGGAAGGUGGGGAUGACGUCAAAUCAUCACGGCCCUUACGUCCUGGGCUACACACGUGCUACAAUGCUACGGACAAAGGGCAGCAAGUUCGCGAGGACAAGCAAAUCCCAUAAACCGUGGCUCAGUUCAGAUCGUAGGCUGCAACUCGCCUACGUGAAGGCGGAAUCGCUAGUAAUCG